GAUGAACGCUGGCGGCGUGCCUAAUACAUGCAAGUCGAGCGGAGCGGGGACGGGUGAGUAACACGUGGAUAACCUCCUAUAAGGCUGGGAUACCUUCGGGAAACCGGGGCUAACCCGGUUACUUAUCAAUUGAUCCUCGCUGCAUUAGCUAGUUGGUAAGGUAACGGCUUACCAAGGCAACGAUGCAUAGCCGGACUGAGAGGGUGAUCAGCCACACUGGAACUGAGACACGGUCCAGACUCCUACGGGAGGCAGCAGUAGGGAAUAUUCCGCAAUGGGCGAAAGCCUGACGGAGCAACGCCGCGUGAGUGAUGAAGGUCUUCGGAUCGUAAAACUCUUUUAUUAGGGAAGCGGUACCUAAUCAGAAAGCCACGGCUAACUACGUGCCAGCAGCCGCGGUAAUUC
rnacentral:rRNA from 1 species